AACGAACGCUGGCGGCAUGCCUAACACAUGCAAGUCGAACGAAGGCUUCGGCCUUAGUGGCGCACGGGUGCGUAACGCGUGGGAAUCUGCCCUUGGGUUCGGAAUAACUCAGAGAAAUUUGAGCUAAUACCGAAUGAUGUCGAGAGACCAAAGAUUUAUCGCCCAAGGAUGAGCCCGCGUAGGAUUAGCUUGUUGGUGAGGUAAAGGCUCACCAAGGCGACGAUCCUUAGCUGGUCUGAGAGGAUGAUCAGCCACACUGGGACUGAGACACGGCCCAGACUCCUACGGGAGGCAGCAGUGGGGAAUAUUGGACAAUGGGCGAAAGCCUGAUCCAGCAAUGCCGCGUGAGUGAUGAAGGCCUUAGGGUUGUAAAGCUCUUUUACCAGGGAUGAUAAUGACAGUACCUGGAGAAUAAGCUCCGGCUAACUCCGUGCCAGCAGCCGCGGUAAAGUCUGUACU
rnacentral:rRNA from 1 species